rnacentral:rRNA from 1 species
UACGUAGGGACCAAGCGUUGUUCGGAUUUACUGGGCGUAAAGGGCGCGUAGGCGGCAAUUCAAGUCAGCUGUGAAAUCUCCGAGCUUGACUCGGAACGGUCAGCUGAUACUGCUUUGCUAGAGUGCAGAAAGGGCAAUCGGAAUUCUUGGUGUAGCGGUGAAAUGCGUAGAUAUCAAGAGGAACACCUGAGGCGAAGGCGGGUUGCUAGGCUGACACUGACGCUGAGGCGCGAAAGCUAGGGUAGCAAACGGG